CUUGAUGAGGUGAGGUUAUUAGAUGUCCGGGCCUGCACGCAGGCCACAGGGAUCGGAUCAGCAUUCGCCGAGAGGAUUGUGUAAACCGCAUGGGUAACCCGCUGUCUGAGCGAGUCGGGAUCAAGUCGGACAGAGAUCUAACCAGCAUGCAUUGUGUUGUGAUCGCCGGAGAAGAACAGGACCCGGGAUCUGAAACUUGAAGCUUUAAUAACCAAAAACAAUUUGAAUGAACGGUGACUUCGGUUGAAAAAAGAGUCUGGUUGUGUCUGUACCCUAUGCGGACUCUAAGUACGCAGCAGGUGCGCUUGAGGUUACUUAUGGACUUGACGAAUCGUGGACUUGGACAGCCCCCUGCACUCACGGACUUCCCGGGAACGCGCCCAUUAAAUCCCCGAGUCAGCAGGGUACAUCGCUAUGGUAAAUUACGUGGAACACCUAACCUGCUCCGGGGCAGUUCAACUUCAGAGGAUCAGAUCAAAAACCUGCCAACAGCCCAACUACUGACCAAUCAGAUCACUGGAAAAACAGAGUCAUCAUUCCUACAGGAUCCCGACAUGGACAAAAGAGUUUGCAAUAAAGUGACACGUAAUAAGGAACAAUAGAUAUAUUUAUAGAUCAGUCGAAUCGUUUUGCUGUUGGAGUGUUUUCCAUGUGUCACUCUGGUUUUAAAAAUAGCUUCUAAACAAACGGAGGGGCAGUUUAUCGCGGUAAUUAACUACAUAAUAACUACUAUAGUGUCAUAUUAGUUGCACAAAAAUUCUUUGAUUCCCGACAGGAUUCCUAACAUUGUCAAUGAUUUUACACUCUUAUUCUAUCACUGCAUCUUAGAAUGACGAGGAGAAUCUGUGACGAUAAAUGAAAAUAAAAACUAAACACUCUGUAUUUUAUUAGAAAAAUUAUCCACACACUAUUCAAU